rnacentral:rRNA from 1 species
AGUGAACGCUGGCGGUAGGCCUAACACAUGCAAGUCGAACGGCAGCACAGUAAGAGCUUGCUCUUACGGGUGGCGAGUGGCGGACGGGUGAGGAAUACAUCGGAAUCUACUUUUUCGUGGGGGAUAACGUAGGGAAACUUACGCUAAUACCGCAUACGACCUACGGGUGAAAGCAGGGGAUCUUCGGGCCUUGCGCGAUUGAAUGAGCCGAUGUCGGAUUAACUAGUUGGCGGGGUAAAGGCCCACCAAGGCGACGAUCCGUAGCUGGUCUGAGAGGAUGAUCAGCCACACUGGAACUGAGACACGGUCCAGACUCCUACGGGAGGCAGCAGUGGGGAAUAUUGGACAAUGGGCGCAAGCCUGAUCCAGCCAUACCGCGUGGGUGAAGAAGGCCUUCGGGUUGUAAAGCCCUUUUGUUGGGAAAGAAAAGCAGCAGGUUAAUACCCCGCUGUUCUGACGGUACCCAAAGAAUAAGCACCGGCUAACUUCGUG